rnacentral:rRNA from 1 species
AGCGAACGCUGGCGGCAGGCCUAACACAUGCAAGUCGAACGAACUCUUCGGAGUUAGUGGCGGACGGGUGAGUAACACGUGGGAACGUGCCUUUUGGUUCGGAAUAACUCAGGGAAACUUGUGCUAAUACCGAAUGUGCCCUUCGGGGGGAAGAUUUAUCGCCAUUAGAGCGGCCCGCGUCUGAUUAGCUAGUUGGUGAGGUAACGGCUCACCAAGGCGACGAUCAGUAGCUGGUCUGAGAGGAUGACCAGCCACACUGGGACUGAGACACGGCCCAGACUCCUACGGGAGGCAGCAGUGGGGAAUCUUGCGCAAUGGGCGAAAGCCUGACGCAGCCAUGCCGCGUGAAUGAUGAAGGUCUUAGGAUUGUAAAAUUCUUUCACCGGGGACGAUAAUGACGGUACCCGGAGAAGAAGCCCCGGCUAACUUCGUG